UGAGACAAACAUUCAUUUUGGCUGUCAGCUAAAAGAACUUGGAAGAAAUGAAGCACGUUUAUUAUGUACUGAUAUAUUCUGACUAGAUAAUCCUUUUUAGUUGGAGGCACUAUAAAAGCAAGUGCAGAUUACUGUUGGCAAAAUAGUAAAAAAUAAAAUUCAGUUGAGCUGCAAAAGUUUUGCCUCCAAUUUCACAGGUGAUCACCUCUCUAGCAUCAAGACAGUGACAGGGAGACCUGAUUUGCAGCCUGAUUUGCUGCAAUCCAAGUCCACUCUCAGGAGACAUAAGGAAAGUGAAUCUCCACCUUUUCCCAGAGGCUGAAACUGAAAUAGUGGAGAUGCAGGCAGUGAAGAUGAGCCAGAAGUAUUUCGUAAUGAAAGAUCAAAACAUGUUUCUAUCAGUUGGUACAAAAGAAUAAUGAAGAAAAUGCUAAAGAAUAAAUGUAAGAAUGAGGAAGAGAAUAGCACUGCCUCUUUCAUCAAAUCACAGAAAGUAUCUCCCAACCCAGGUGAUGGGUAAGAAUACAUCACAACUAAGUGAAAAAUCACUUUCCCCAGGAAGUUUAUAAAAUACAGAGAAUUGCAAUUCACUGCUCUUAAAGCUAGCUGUGCUUUGAUGAAAAAAAAAAAGGUCCAUGAAAACAUGCAAUUUCCAUACUUCCGGCCGAAAAUCUGGAGCUUGAGAACAGUUUACCACAUGCACUCCUUCCCACCUCAACAAAUGUGGAAACCCAAAAAUGGAACGUGUAUAGUCUGGGCUCUCGGGUGAAGACAAAGCAAAGUAGAGCCCCAGCUGACCCUUGAUGGACAUUUACCAUGAUCAAUGGUAAUCAAAACUUUGAAGAGACAAAGGACUUGCUGCUUGUCAGUCACUUUGCAUCAAAUAUUAUUCAUGACAUAUCUCGUGCCAAUCUUAUUCUUGCUACUGUGGAGAGGUCUGCAGUGAAACUUAACUAUGUUCGGCUUUUCAGCCAUAUGAGCUCCCCAUGAAAUAUUUUGCUGUGGUUAGAAAGUAAUUCUCACAGCUUGGACUUGGAAGCAAGUGCUGCUUUUUAUGCUGGAGGGAAGGGGUGGUUCUAGCUCCAGUCUUGUACGCGGGCCUCUCACCGUUGUGGCCUCUCCCACUGCGGAGCAGAGGCUCUGGACGCACAGGCUCAGCGGCCAUGGCUCACGGGCCCAGCCGCUCCGCAUCAUGUGGGAUCCUCCCGGACCGGGGCACGAACCCGUGUCCCCUGCAUUGGCAGGCAGACUCUCAACCACUGUGCCACCAGGGAAGCCCUAAAACUUGUAUUUUUAAUUUUCAUGGCAUUUCUCAUUUAACAAAGUAUUUACUUUAUUUUACCUAUUCAACGAACACUUACUGAGCAACAUUAUGUGUUAGGUAAUAUCAUAGAUUCAAAAGUCAGAGAGAAAAGAUGUAAAUAUACACAAAAUAUUUCAUAGUCUGCUAAAGACACAGCUUCAACUGUGUCCCUGUAACCAUGGACAUAAUGACACAGAAGAGAGACAAAUUUUUGAGUGUCCAGCCUUAAUUCUAAUCAUUUUGCUUCCUAGCCAGUUUUGGGGUUCUCCACUCUCCACUUGCAUCUUGCCUCAUCAGUGGAAUUUCACACCUGUGACUCUAUCCUCUGAGUGAAAUACACUACCUUGUGGAGGGUUAACAAAAUUCUUCAUUAGUGCUGAGGACUCUGAACUCUGAUUGGAAUUCUUCAGUCAUAACCUAUUCUUUCCAAGUUUAAAGAUGUUUUUAACAACUACUCACUUAAUAGAGACAACCUAUCCACAAAUUAAAAUCAGGGAAGGUCCUUAAUUUUUGUACCAAUACAUCAACCAUGAAUCUCUAAAAAGUAGAAAAUGGAUGGCUUGAGUAGCUGAAGUUGUGCGUUUCCCUUCUCCCAUGUAGAAGGCGAGAGCUGGCUGGAAUUGGGUGUUUCCCUCUCAAAGAAAGACAACACUUCUCCACAAUUUUGGAGGAAUUCACUAGGAUUGACAAGAGCACAGGCUCCGGACGCGCAGGCUCAGCGGCCAUGGCUCACAGGCCCAGCCACUCCGCGGCAUGUGGGAUCUUCCUGGACCGGGGCACGAACCCGCGUCCCCUACAUCGGCAGGCAGACUCUCAACAACUGUGCCACCAGGGAAGCCCCAAAACAGUGCUUUUUUAAUUUGGGGUUUAUACCUUUGUUCUUUUUAUUGUGGGUUGGUUCAUCUUUGUUUUCUAACUUGCAAAUUUUUACUAGGCCAGACUAUUUAUUUAAAAUAAACAUUUGAAGAUUUGCAGUCUCUCUUUUAAUAAUAUACAUGUCGAUAGAUAGAAGGAUAGACAGAUUAAAAAAAUAUAGGGUUUAGCCAUUACUGCAUAGAAUUUGAUAUAAAACUCAAACAAUUUAGAAAGAUAUGCUGUGGAAAUUUAGCCUAUGUUCAGUUCUGGUCUCCAGCAAUAGUUCACAGUCCCAAAGAAUACGUACAUUUAAAAAACUGUUUCAUGUCAGGGGUAUUAGAUAUACCAUUUCAUUUAAUUCUUCAUCAAAGAAGCUGGAAGUUAAUUUUUAUUAUUCUUAUUUUAAAGACUGAUUGGGUUUAAAUUGUUCAGUAAGGUAUAGUUAGUACUACAGAGUGAGUAAUAGAAUAGAGAUUCAAAAGCUCAUCUGCCUGGUUGCAAAUCCUCUUCUCAUUUAAGCUCACUAACUUCUAGUCAUUGGUGGAGGGUUUCUAGACUCAGAGGUCAUUAUUGCUUCUCUUCUUCCUCAAGCAGAAAGCAGAAAACACACUGAGGUAUUUCCCUUUGUGUAAACUUGGUGUUUUCUGAGGGAAAAUCAAGUGUCAGAUGGUUUAUUUCCUUCCUCCCUUCCUUCCUUCCUUCCUCCCCUCCUCUCUUUUCUGUCUUUCUUCCUUGGGCUUAAUCCAUUCUGUUUGAUUCUGCUUGAUCAAUGUUUAACAAUUAAGUACUUCUUAUUAUACAUACAAAAUGUAUUUCCCAUUUCUACCUUGGGCAUAGGGCACACCAAUGUCUUAAAAUUUUAGCUAGCAAAAGUAUAAUGACAAUAAGAGUAUUUGAGCUAAAUUAGAAGAAAAUACUCUGGUAAAUAUUGUUCCAGAUUACACAGGCUUGAAAACUCCUGCACCAAUUUAUUCUUAAAACUCAUGUCCUCUGAUUUUGAAAAAAAAAAUCCAUUUUUUUUCCCCCAAAUCUCUCAGAUCAUUUAGGAAGAAAUAUAAAGUGUUUAUAGUUUACACACAGAAUGGAGAUAAUCCCUUUGGAGGCUCUGCAGAGUCUGUGUAGGGUUGUAAAGCAAGAAGCAAUCCAGUAGGAAUGUGGAUGUAUGUGUAUACUUAUAUAAAUAUUUAUAUCUAAUUAUAUGAAUAUAUAAUGCUCUUCCUGUCAAGUAUCUGUAUGAUAUGACUGGAUAUUUUUCCACAGCCACAAGCUCUGUCCUUAUCAAGUAGAGAUAGGAAUGGGGAGGAAAUAGAGUGGACCUCUCUCUUUCGAGUGUUAAACACCAUACAACACACUUGACUGAUGGCCACUUUGCCUACAUCUCUGGCUGUGUAUGGUAACUAGUCAGCAGGAGAUAGAUAAUUUUAAACAAAUGUUACAAAAAUGUGAUAUUACUUUUUGCAAAUUGACUUGCUUGGCAGUAACAAUUUUACAAUGUCACCUAAAUGGUUAUUUUUUCCUGUAAAUUCCACCGUAUUAACUGGAAGCAAGUGUCCGGCACAUGUAGUUCAAUGUUUUGCACAUUAAGCUUAAUGAAAGUGUGUUCUUCAUGUUGGUGAUUAACCAACUCAAGAAUAAAACCAAUGAUAGCACAAUAGCCUUUACUACUUUCUCCUAUAUAAUGUAUUCAAGUGUUCGCUUUAGUUUAUUAUAUUAAUAUAAUAAUAUAAUUGAAAAUCCCAUUGUCAUUUUCUUCCAAAUAUUAAAACUAUUGAUAAUUUAUGUUGAACUAAUAAAGAAUAGCUCAAUUUAGAAAGCAGCAUCUCUAUUAAAUUACUACAUAAUUAACCACCUUAAGCAAUAAUUUUUUAAUUUGUUUACUUAGGGAUGAUUGAUUCAAAAAUUAACCUGGAUUACUGAAGUAAAAAUUUUCAAAAUUUCAAAACAGAGUUCAGUUAGUGAAUUUUGUCCUUAUUUGUUCUUUAGGAGUAUGACUUUUUCACCAUAUAUAUGAGAAAUAGCUCAGCUUGAAAAGGAAGAAUUAUUUAAGGAACAAUUAGUCAUUUGGGGAGUUGGAAGGCAGACACAAGUUAUACAAAGUGAAAGCUUCUAAUAGUCAUAGUGUAUUAACGCAUAAGUAUUCCCAAUAUACAGUAGCUUAAAGGAACAAUAAAAUGACAAAACCAAAGAGAUAAACCCUGACGCUAGUCCUAGGAUUUGCUCUCAACAACAAAUAAAAUAUACAAUAGAUGAAAAAAUGUUUUAUUUAUGAGAGUAAAAUGAAUAGCACCAUAGGAAGUAAGUUGUUUGCUGUAGUAAACAUCAAAAGGGCAAGAAUUGCAAUUUGAUAUGUCUCCCAAGGAGUGUGAAGCUCAGAUAAAGAUGUGAGUCUAAAAUUGGAGAAGUACAUAUUUAAUAUUAAUAGAAGUCUCCACUUUGUAUAAAGACCUUGAAGUGAUAUAUAUCUUCCAUGCUAUGCCUUAGGAUGACUAUUUCAUCUGUUAGAGACUAUCACUGCCUAUCUUUAUAAAGCUUGGUUUGUUUAUAGCAAGAGUACAAAAUGCACUAUGAUUCUGUGAAACAAGAAGAAAGUGGAACUGAAAGCAAGUUCUAGAAAUAUUCUAUGAGAAAAAAAUAGUAACAGUAUUAUUUUGGAAAACAAAGCCUGAAGUAUUAGAAUUCAGUCAAAUGUGAUAUGUCGUAUAGUCAAACUUGAACAACUAGCCCUUUCACAAAAAUGACUUUUUGUAGAGGUUAGGUGUUUACUAUGUACCAGGUACUUUUUUAGUCACUAUAUGUAUGUUAUUUAAUUUAAAUUUCACACACCUCAACAAUGUAAUAACUAUGCUAUUUUAUAGAUUAGGGAAAUGAACAUAUGAAAAUAAGCAACUCGCCCAAGGUCACAGAGUAAGUGGCAAUUCAGCCUUCAAGUAAAACUUUAACCAUAAAAACUUUGUUUAUAGUUUGCCUUAGUUAUUUAUUGCUGUAAUAAAAAUUGUCUUAAAAUAUAGUUAAAAUAACAAGAAAAUGUAAUUUCUCACAAUUUGGGCAGAUCAGAAAUUGGGAGCCACUUAGCUAAGCAGUUCUUCCUUGGGGAACUUUCAUGAGAUUUCAGUCACAAUGUCAGCCAGGGCUGCAAUCAUCUGAAGGCUUGACUAGGACUGGAAGAUACACUUCCAGAGUGGGUCACUCACAUGGCCAGCUUGUUGUGGACAGGAGGCCUCUGUCCUCCACCUAAUUCUCUGUAGUUCUCCCCACAGGACUGCUUGUGUUCUCAUGACAAGGCAGCUGGCUUCCCCAUAUGUGAGCGAGCCAAGAGACAAAAAAGCAGAAGUCAGUCUGCCUUUUCUUAUCUAGCCUCAGAAAUUAUAUACUUUCACCUCCCUAAUAUCCUCUGAUCAUACAAGUCUACCCUAUUCAACGUGAGAGGAGACCACACAAGUUCAUGAGUACUCGGAAGUCUGGGUCACUGAGGGUCAUCUUGGAGACUGGCUUCCAUAAAGCUAUAGGGCAAACAAGAAUACACUGUUCUCCAGUGGACGUUAAUUCUACUUUAUUUUUACUAUAUUAGAUAUAAUUCUAUUUCAUCACCAACAGUAUAUUGGAUAUAGUUUUCUUUAGAUAAGAAUAGAUAAUGUGGGCAUUGGAAGCUUCUCCCUAGUGAAGGGUUCAUAUCUUCCUGAUUUUACUGUAAUGUUUUGAAUAAUUACUGAAAUACACAUUCUAAAAGCAAUCAAUUUUGCAAUCAAUUAUGCAAAAAUUAUAGGCUGUGUUGUUAUAUAGUUUAACUUCCAAGGUAUUUCAGGUAACAGCUUUACAGAUGUUUUGUCAUUCCCUAACUUACAUCCUUAGCUUUCUAGCCUGUUCUAAUUUUAUCCUUGCUGCCUGCUCUGAAUGUAGGUAAUUUCUAUGACAGCAACCCAUUUCUUGGUACCACUUGUCUGUAAUAGUUAGGACAUAGGCUAAAACGGUUGCAUCAGUAACAUUUUGCCUCAUAACAAGCCACCCUGAAACUCAGCAGCUUGAAAAACAAGCAUUGUUUAGUUCACUACUCUGCUGAGUAGUUCUCUGAGUCUGGACUGGCUCCACUCAUCUCAGUGUGUGCUCUCUCAUCUGGCUAUGUUAUUUUUGGAGUUUGAUGGUGGCUAAAUGAUCGAGGUUAGAGGAUCCCCAGAGAAAGAGAACCAGGCAUGCCUUUCUUCACAUAAGAGAAGCCAUUUUGGCUGAAGCUAUUUUGUGAUCUAAGCCUGGCCACAAUGCUUGUCUUUGAGCAGGUGUCAGUAAUUUAUAAUGUUAAGUAAGAAAAGAAUGCAGGAUAAAGGACUGUUAUCAGGCAAGAGAAGUAGCGAUAGCAAAGAUAAUAUAUCAAUUGUAGACUCCCAGUUCUGUUUUUAUGGUAAAGAUUAGCCUGAAGUGCUCAACCACCAAAUCAACUGGAACCUAAGAGAUGAUGUUAACUUUUUCUGAUCCUCAAGGCUUCAAUCAACUAAAGCUUGGACUUGGCCAAAAUUUGUCCCAAUUCUAUGUUGAAUUCUCCUCUGCUCAAGCCUCUUCAUGAAUAUGCACAUACCCUUAGCUUUAAACUUUCCCAAUUUUGCUGUUGGGGAGACAAUGCUUUGGGCAAGAUCCCGGCUGUUCUUCUUACUUGCUGCAUAAAUAAAUACUUUCUUCUCCCACUCUUUGGUUUGGUUGUGUCUUUUGACUCAACACCCACCAAGAGGCAAAUCCAGUUUUUCAGGUAACACUGCCAGCUUCCACUAAAAGUAAGGUCCUUUCAAAUUCUAACCUGGUUUCAAAGCCAAUGCCACAUGUUCUGGAUUUUUAUUAUGGUAGCAAACAACUACCAGUUACCAAAUUUUAUUCUGGUGUCUACUGCUGCCUAACAAACUACUUCAAAGCUUAGUAACUUUAAACAACCACAAUUUAAUCAUAUUUCAUAACUUUGGAAUCAGUGAUUCAGGUGCAACUUGCUGUUGGAUACUUCUGCUCCAUGUGGCAUCAACUGGAGUCACUAGGUGGUAUUCAACUGGCAGCUCUAGUCUGGAGAACUGGUGGUGACAGCUGGAAGAAAGGAAUCAUCUGGUCCCCUUUCUCUCUCCAGGUAGCCUUAGGGCUACCCUGUGUGGUCUCUUCAGCAUAUAGAUAAGUUCAUACAUGGCAGCUCAGGGUUCCUCAGGAAUGCUAAGAGCCUAAAGAGGCUAGAGGCGGUACUGACAUAGUGUCAUCUCCUCCAUGCUCUAUUACUUCAAGCAGUCACAGGUCAGCUCAUAUUCAAAGGGAUUGAAAAAAGACCUGCCUUUCAAUAAGAGGAGUGUCAAAGAUUCUACAGCUACCUUUAAUCUGCAAAGAGGUUAAAUUACAUGGAACACUUGAAAUUCCCUUGCUUCAUAACAUUAGUUUAGAAAUCCUGCCUGCUUAUUCUUUUGUCAUUUACGCCCUUAUAAGUAAACUGGGAGAAAACAUAUUCCUUUGCAUAAAGUAAAACAAAAUUGUAGAGAUGUUAACGUGAGUCCACAAAUUAUGUCCAAGGAAAGAAACUGUAGCCUAGUUGUUUACAAUGUUUGGAGAUAGGCUUUGGGAGAAAUUUCUCUGUUCUACAUUUAUAAUUAUAAUGAUAAAAUAACUAAUUGUCAAUGCUUUGUGAGGCCUGUCUGGUCUUAGGUCCAGAAAUUUUAUAUCAAAGAAUCCUAUCUUAUUUAACGCAAAACCAGAGUGAGUAAUGCUUGGAAUUUUAUAUAAUAAGAAAUAAGAUAAUAACGAAUCAUUCGAAUUAACCUGUAUUUUUUUUUAUUGUCCUCAAUUUUCUUCUUAUUCAGGUCAAAAUGAUUAUAGCAAGGACUGUGCCGAAGAGAGAAGGCAUUGCUAAAUUUGCAAGACUUAUAACCAGGACACUCUGACAUUUGGAAACGUAAACAAGCAAAGGAAAGCAAGAAAGGUUGCCCUGUCUGACUAAAAAAAGAGCUAGAUAAUUUUAUUUCAAUGAGAAAACAGUGCACAUUUAUAAUAUUUCAGAAAAAUUUAGUAAGAUUAACAGUGUCUAUUGGAUUUCUGAGUGUGGAAUUUAUUGGUAACAUUUACAAAACCAGUUUAAAUAUAGUGAUGGUGCAGGAAGCCAAAUUGGAAAGUCUUGAAGAGUGAAUAGUAAUGGGAGGAGAGAAUCAGAAGAGAGUACUUAAUCAAGCUUUAUACUUGAUUAUACUGAAGGAUAGUCAAGAAAAUUGUUUGGAGUAUGAGGAGCAUGAAAAUCAGAGGAGGUUCUUAAAUUAUUUUAUGGCAAUCUUCUUUGGAAAACUACCAUGAUACAAAUUAAUUCAGUAAAAUGAUGUAUUUGGGGAGGAGGGGCAAAUAGUAUUUAUAAAAAUUAUUGCUUGCCAAUCUUUUUAUAGAAAAAUAUAUCUUAUAGAAAGUUAAAUUUCUGAAAAAUCAGAAGAUCUGCACCCACCACCCUCUGUAUGACCCCAUUGGCCUCAGCUCAACUUCCUUCUCUUUGUUAUUCCCUGCUUUCUUGGCGGAGCUGGGUUCAUUCAACUGACAGUAAGAAAUCUAUUUUAUGUCAGAGCUAGGUGCACACAUAUGCAUGUAUGUCUCAAAGUAUAUAUUAUAAAACAAUACACAUCCUUGUAUAUAUAAUAAAUUUGAGUAUUUUAAUUUUAGUCCUGCAGUAGUAAAGGAAGAAUCUGUAACCCGCUCUGGGAGUUGGCAAGAUCAAACUGCAUUCAUAAUACUACUAAAUCAUUAUUGUUCUUGUUCACUUUCAAUCUCUCAUGAGUGUGCAGAGAAGUAUUUGUUUUUGUUUUCCAGAAGCUACAUGCUGUAUAAUGAUGUCAGCACUCUUUUGAAUAAUUGAGAGUAUAGUUGUGUAUUGGUUUUCUAGAACUUUCUAAGUGAGUAGAUUUAGUAUAUAAAUAUGUACAUGUUCAAACAUUAAAUCAUACUCUUCUGGA